rnacentral:rRNA from 1 species
GCUGGCGGCGUGCCUUAUGCAUGCAAGUCGAACGGUUCCGAUUUAUCGGGAUAGUGGCGAACGGGUGAGUAACGCGUAAGUAACCUGCCCCCAAGUAGAGGAUAACUCCGAGAAAUUGGAGCUAAUACUGUAUAUGGUAGUGGAGGUAAUGCUUCAUUACUAAAGCCUGCGGGCGCUUGGGGAGGGGCUUGUGUCCGAUUAGCUAGUUGGUAGGGUAAUGGCUUACCAAGGCGAUGAUCGGUAGCUGGUUUGAGAGGACGGUCAGCCACACUGGGACUGAGACACGGCCCAGACUCCUACGGGAGGCAGCAGCAAGGGAUAUUGUGCAAUGGGCGAAAGCCUGACACAGCGACGCCGCGUGAGGGAUGAAGGCCUUCGGGUUGUAAACCCCUUUUCUCAGGGAAGAAUAAUGACGGUACCUGAGGAAUAAGUUUCGGCUAACUACGUGCCAGCAGCCGCGGUAAUACGUAGGAGGCUAGCGUUAUCCGGAUUUAUUGGGCGUAAAGAGGACGUAGGCGGUCUUGCAAGUUGGAUGUAAAAUCUCUCGGCUUAACUGGGAGGGACCAUUCGAUACUGUUGGGCUAGAGGGCAGCAGAGGGAGGUGGAAUUCCCGGUGGAGUGGUGAAAUGCGUAGAUAUCGGGAGGAACACCAGUGGCGAAGGCGG